UAGAGUUUGAUCCUGGCUCAGGAUGAACGCUAGCGGCAGGCUUAACACAUGCAAGUCGAGGGGCAGCGGGGUGUAGCAAUACAUCGCCGGCGACCGGCGCACGGGUGCGUAACACGUAUGGAAUCUGCCCUGUACUGGGGGAUAGCCCUCCGAAAGGAGGAUUAAUACCCCAUAACAACUUGAGUGGCAUCACUUGGGUUUGAAAGCUCCGGCGGUACAGGAUGACCAUGCGCCCGAUUAGCUAGUAGGUGAGGUAACGGCUCACCUAGGCUACGAUCGGUAGGGGGCCUGAGAGGGUUAUCCCCCACACUGGUACUGAGACACGGACCAGACUCCUACGGGAGGCAGCAGUGAGGAAUAUUGCGCAAUGGAGGCAACUCUGACGCAGCCAUGCCGCGUGCAGGAAGAAGGCGCUACGCGUUGUAAACUGCUUUUAACCGGGAAGAAACCCCAGGACGUGUCCUGGGUUGACGGUACCGGAGGAAUAAGCACCAACGGACUUCGUGCCAGCAGCCGCGGUAAUA
rnacentral:rRNA from 1 species